rnacentral:lncRNA from 1 species
CCCAAAAUAAUAUCUUAAGUAACUUGAAGAAUAUAUUUUCCCUCUCUUCCUUCUCUCUUGAAGAUCCAGUCAUUAGUUUCACUACUGAGAAAGUCAUAACUGUCAUGAUGACCAGGACUUCAAAGAAGCAAGACCUCUUACCUAGUUGCCUAUCUCUGACAGGGACUGGCAACAGACGCCUAGAAAAAUAUUGUGAUCUGCUGCCUGCUAUACUGUCCCAGUAGUUGGUCUUUGGCAGCCUAAUGACUUCCUGAGCCUGUGAUUAUAUUUGGACAAUGCUUAACAGCCACUGACACUUGUAAUGCACUUAAGCCCUUUUUCGAGCCUGCAAGGUUCACACUUUAUGUGUUCUCCUGGAGGAAGCAGAUCAGGCAGCAGAGAAAUCUACUUGUGAUUAACCCUUUCCAAGAUCACUGGAAUAUGCUUACCAGGAGCAGAAUAGAAAGGUGGAAAAACACAGCACUUCCCACAGUAUAGGGGGUAGCAUGCAGAAGAUAGAGGUGCACGAAGGUUGUAUCUCCAUUUGAGACAGUCUUAGGAGAGCAUUCCAAAGCACUGGGCUGCUGCUUAAUUGCUAGCACAAACGGUGAUACCACUUUGGUCUGUGCCAGCUAAUACUCUCUGAAACACUGCCUGAGCAGCAGUUCAGGGGAUAGAUAGUGUGGGCCAGACUAUCCCAAACAGGCAUUCAUAAGCUGAGGCCCUAGCCCCGAGCAUAGCUCCUUCUCUAUGCUUAGACACCUAAAUUAAAAGUAAAAGCACACAAGAAUGUUCUAGAGCCAUGGAACAUCACAAAGGAGAACUCAAGCCAGCUUUGUGCAACAUAGACAGUGUCAUUUGACCCAUAGCAUGGGAACAGUCCCUGCCCUUGAGUCACUUAGCGUCAUGAAUGUUUCCAGACAGAUAGGGAAGCUGAUGAGAAGAGAUGGAAGGACAUCCCCCGACAUCCUGGGAGAAAGUAGAGAGAGAAAUUUUUAUAUGAACUUGAGGAGUUAUGAAGAACUGAUUACACUUCAGAAAGUUAUUAUACUCCUGAACUCCAAAAGCAAGGAGCAGCAAGAGCAGUACAGCUCUACAGGAGAGGACAAACCAGAAAGGAGCAACCACACAAGAGAGUGCCACCACCAGAACAUGGUUCCAGCACAUCUAAGCAGGAAGGGCAGAGUUGGGAUGCUGAUGACUGGUUCUAUCAAGAGACUCACACAAGGGAAAAUGAUGGAUCAGGUGACAGAUCUGUUACACUGCUAUCCUGCAGAUUCCAGAUGCCACCAUCACCUUUGACUUGAGAGUUGCAGCUGAGGCUUUUGGUGAGACAUCUAGGACAUCUGAGCAACAAGAUGUUGAAACUCGUCAUUUGAAGGCAGAAAGCAUGUGGGAUACAAAUCACCUCUGAUACACCCUUUGAUACCUUUUUCUAAUAAAUAUUAUGCACUUUUUAGUCA